AUUGAACGCUGGCGGCAUGCUUUACACAUGCAAGUCGAACGGUAACAGGCCGCAAGGUGCUGACGAGUGGCGAACGGGUGAGUAAUGCAUCGGAACGUGCCCAGUCGUGGGGGAUAACGCAGCGAAAGCUGCGCUAAUACCGCAUACGAUCUAUGGAUGAAAGCGGGGGACCGUAAGGCCUCGCGCGAUUGGACCGGCCGAUGUCAGAUUAGGUAGUUGGUGGGGUAAAGGCUCACCAAGCCAACGAUCUGUAGCUGGUCUGAGAGGACGACCAGCCACACUGGGACUGAGACACGGCCCAGACUCCUACGGGAGGCAGCAGUGGGGAAUUUUGGACAAUGGGCGCAGGCCUGAUCCAGCAAUGCCGCGUGCAGGAAGAAGGCCUUCGGGUUGUAAACUGCUUUUGUACGGAACGAAACGGUCCUGGUUAAUACCUGGGGCUAAUGACGGUACCGUAAGAAUAAGCACCGGCUAACUACGUGCCAGCAGCCGCGGUAACAC
rnacentral:rRNA from 1 species